rnacentral:rRNA from 1 species
AACGAACGCUGGCGGCAGGCCUAACACAUGCAAGUCGAACGAGAUCUUCGGGUCUAGUGGCGCACGGGUGCGUAACGCGUGGGAAUCUGCCCUUUGGUUCGGAAUAACAGUUGGAAACGACUGCUAAUACCGGAUGAUGACGAAAGUCCAAAGAUUUAUCGCCAGAGGAUGAGCCCGCGUAGGAUUAGCUAGUUGGUGUGGUAAAGGCGCACCAAGGCGACGAUCCUUAGCUGGUCUGAGAGGAUGAUCAGCCACACUGGGACUGAGACACGGCCAAGACUCCUACGGGAGGCAGCGGUGGGAAAUAGUUGACAAUGGGCGAAAGCCUGGUCCAGCAAUGCCGCGUGAGUGAUGAAGGCCUUAGGGUUGUAAAGCUCUUUUACCCGGGAUGAUAAUGACAGUACCGGGAGAAUAAGCGCCGGCUAACUCCGUGCCAGCAGCCGCAGUAA